rfam:Ovis aries breed Texel chromosome 16, whole genome shotgun sequence.
UCCCUGGUGACUGAGAUGGUAAAGAAUCUGCCUGCAAUGCAGAAAAUGCGGGUUCGAUCCCUGGGUUGGGAA